CUCUAAUCUACUUUUUUUUUUCAGUCUGUGGUCUUGCAGCUCUUUGAUUGAAAUCUGAGUGAGAAAUCAUUCAGCCAUCGGAAUCACAUUUAGACAUUUCUGAUAAGUGACAGUACUUUAAGUGAUCAUAAUUAUUUACCUAAUUAUUAAUUAUAGACUACUUUUAAUUAUACCUAUUUAGUGUUAAGUAGCCUAAUUAAAUCUAGAUCUAAUCUAGUUCUAACUUACCUCUACUCUAAACAAUAGUAACUUUUUUUUUUACUAGACUCACAAUUUUAAAAACAAAUGGUUUUUUUUUUUUGUGUGAAAUAAACCUAGUAGGCGUAGUCUAUUUAUUUUAAAAUAAACCUUAUGCCUAGAUAUCUAUAUCUAAAUUUUCCAAAUGUAUUUUCAGAAGUUCGAAUGAGGAGAUGGAGAUGGCUGGGCCAUGUCCUACGCAUGAGCAAAAGAUGACUCCCCAACAUGGCACUGGAAAACGAAAGAGAGGAAGACCACUGGGAACAUGGAGGAGAUAGAUGGAAGAAGAAGUGCAAGCUGCUGGCAAGACCUGGCAUGAACUAAAGUGGCUCGCCCAAGACAGAGUGGAAUGGCAGGGAUUUGUUGCUGCCCUAUACUCCACAGGGAGUGAUGAGGAUUAAAGAAAGCAGACACAGAUCCAGUGUUGGAAGAGGAAGUAUUUUACAUAAAAGAAAAAAAAAACAACAGAUGUCAAAGCAGGUAUUGGCUGGUGCAGAAACAGCAUGAAAGGAUUUUUGUAUCUUUCCUGGACUGAUGACUUUCAUUCAACCUGAUCAUUUUUUUAUUUGCAUCAACUAAAACUUGUUAUAUAAAUCACUUUGUUGUACUCACACCUUAAACUUAAACCCAUUAUUACUUUUGUACUUUUCAUUGAUAAUUGAAAUUUAUAUAA